rnacentral:rRNA from 1 species
UACGGGGGGAGCAAGCGUUGUUCGGAUUUACUGGGCGUAAAGGGCGCGUAGGCGGUAGCACAAGUCAGUUGUGAAAUCUCCGGGCUUAACUCGGAACGGUCAAGUGAUACUGUCGGACUAGAGUACAGAAGGGGCAACUGGAAUUCUCGGUGUAGCGGUGAAAUGCGUAGAUAUCGAGAGGAACACCUGCGGCGAAGGCGGGUUGCUGGGCUGAUACUGACGCUGAGGCGCGAAAGCCAGGGGAGCGAACGGG